UACGUAGGGGGCUAGCGUUGUCCGGAAUCAUUGGGCGUAAAGAGCGUGUAGGCGGUCCGGUAAGUCCGUUGUGAAAGUCAGGGGCUCAACCCUUGAAUGCCGGCGGAUACUGUCGGGCUAGAGUCCGGAAGAGGCGAGUGGAAUUCCCGGUGUAGCGGUGAAAUGCGUAGAUAUCUGGAGGAACACCGGUGGCGAAGGCGGCAUCCUGGACCAACAUUGACGCUGAGGAGCGAAAGCCAGGGGAGCAAACGGG
rnacentral:rRNA from 1 species